rnacentral:misc_RNA from 1 species
ACGAGUUUGAACAUGGGUUGAUGCUGGCCUUCCGAGGCAUGUGCUCACCCUGCUCAUCCACAUACCCCUGUGCACCUUUGUGGCGGGUUGGGCCCGAAAGGGUCAAGCCAGCUACGUUUUUUUACACACACGCUUCAGUUUAGAAUGUAAACUUGCUAUAAAACGCAUUAAAUA